rnacentral:rRNA from 1 species
CUACGGGGUGCUGCAGUGGGGAAUCUUAGACAAUGGGGGAAACCCUGAUCUAGCCAUGCCGCGUGAGCGACGACGGCCCUAGGGUUGUAAAGCUCUUUCAGCAGGGAAGAUAAUGACGGUACCUGCAGAAGAAGUCCCGGCUAACUCCGUGCCAGCAGCCGCGGCAAUACGGAGGGGACUAGCGUUGUUCGGAAUUACUGGGCGUAAAGCGCGCGUAGGCGGAUUGUUAAGUCGGGGGUGAAAUCCCGGGGCUCAACCCCGGAACUGCCCUCGAUACUGGCAGUCUUGAGUUCGAGAGAGGUGAGUGGAAUUCCGAGUGUAGAGGUGAAAUUCGUAGAUAUUCGGAGGAACACCAGUGGCGAAGGCGGCUCACUGGCUCGAUACUGACGCUGAGGUGCGAAAGCGUGGGGAGCAAACAGGAUUAGAUACCCGUGUAGUC